UGUGAAGCAAGUGAAGGCUGACGGUCGCAAAUAAAGAUCACAUAGCUCUUCCAAAAAACAAAAAAAACAAAACCCAACUCUUCCCACAGACACACAAACCUACAAAGGAAAAGCAAACUUUAUUGUUAUCUAAGUCUUAUAUAAAACAUGCUGUAGCUGAGAGUGAAGAGGAAACGUCCUUUAUUCAAAUGUCAUCUCAUCCAUG
rnacentral:lncRNA from 11 species